rnacentral:rRNA from 1 species
UACACUCCUACGGGAGGCAUCAGUGGGGAAUUUUGGACAAUGGGCGAAAGCCUGAUCCAGCAAUGCCGCGUGAGUGAAGAAGGCCUUCGGGUUGUAAAGCUCUUUUGUCAGGGAAGAAACGGUGAGAGCUAAUAUCUCUUGCUAAUGACGGUACCUGAAGAAUAAGCACCGGCUAACUACGUGCCAGCAGCCGCGGUAAUACGUAGGGUGCAAGCGUUAAUCGGAAUUACUGGGCGUAAAGCGUGCGCAGGCGGUUUUGUAAGUCUGAUGUGAAAUCCCCGGGCUCAACCUGGGAAUUGCAUUGGAGACUGCAAGGCUAGAAUCUGGCAGAGGGGGGUAGAAUUCCACGUGUAGCAGUGAAAUGCGUAGAUAUGUGGAGGAACACCGAUGGCGAAGGCAGCCCCCUGGGUCAAGAUUGACGCUCAUGCACGAAAGCGUGGGGAGCAAACAGGAUUAGAAACCCCAGUAGUCCC